ensembl:lncRNA
CCCAAGUUUUUUAUCCCAUAUUUUCCCAUAUUUCUCCAUGGUUUUUAUCCUGUAUUUACCUAUAUUUCCCCAUGGUUUUUAUCCUGUAUUUUUCCAUAUUUCCCCAUGUUUUUUAUCCCGUAUUUUCCCAUAUUUCCCCAUGUUUUUUAUCCUGUAUUUUCCCAUAUUUCCCCAUGUCCUUUAUCCUGUAUUUACCUAUGUUUCCCCAUGGUUUUUAUCCUGUAUUUUCCCGUAUUUCCCCAUGGUUUUUUAUCCUGUAUUUUCCUGUAUUUCCCCAUGGUGUUUAUCCUGUAUUUACCUAUAUUUCCCCAUGGUUUUUAUCCUGUAUUUUCCCAUAUUUCCCCAUGUUUUCCCUGCCCUCCUGGCUAACCCUCGUGUCCCCGUUGUGGCUCCUGCCUUGUCUCCUUGUCUGUGGCUGCUCAUUCACCCACAUCCUCCUAUACCCUCGAGUGUUAUCCCAUGUUUUUUAUCCCAUAUUUUCCCAUAUUUCCCCGUGAUUUUUAUCCUGUGUUUACCUAUAUUUCCCCAUGGUUUUUAUCCUGUAUUUUCCCAUAUUUCCCUGUGUUUUCUCCCUGCAGGGCCUGGGCUGCGGCUCCUGCGCCGGCUGCCUGAGCACCGAGGACUGCGGCAGCUGCUGCAUCUGCCUGCGGCGCCUGCAGCCCGGCCUCAAGCGCCAGUGGCGCUGCCUGCGGCGCCGCUGCCUGCGCCCCAAGAAAGCCAAGGUGGCCAAGAAGCCGCAGAGCCCCCGGGCCCUGACAGAGAAAUGGAAGCCUCUCGUGGAGCGGGAGCCCAGCGAUGCCUCCAGCGCCAGGCACAGAAAGCUGCUGAACAAGGGCAAGGAGAAGAAGAAGCCGGGGCGACCCCUCAAGGCCCCUGGGCCCCGUGGGGUGAGUGACAGGCCUUGGCCACGCCCCCUGUGUCAUAGCCCCGUCCCUCCAUCAAUGGCCGCGCCCCUUCCAGAGCAGCUAUUGGGGCAGGGGGGAAGCCGUAAUGCUCCUAAUAUAGGGGCCUGUAAAAGGGGGCAGGAUUGGGGUGCAGGUACCAUAAUGAUCCUAUGAGCCAUUCCAAGACUGAAUAUUGGGGUUCAUCACAUUCAAACCCCAUUAAUAUUGGGGUGCCAAAACCAUAAUGCCCCUAAUGCUGGGGCCAGAUCAUUGUGACAGCCCAAAAACUGUUCACAGCUGAUGGUGAGGUUUGAGCGACCCUGCCUGUGGCGUUGGGGCAGUGUAAUGCUCCAAAUUUUGGGGUUCAGGUACCUCAAAACUCCUCAGAGCAGAGUUUGGUUACCAUAAUUCUCCUAAUAACUGUUCCAGGUAUAGCAAGACCCAAGAUACCAAUAGUGGGGUACAGAUAACGUAAUACCUCUAGUAGCAGACUGCCCCAAAUGCUGGGGCUUAGGUACCAUAGUGGCUCUAUUAAUGGAGUGCAGAUACCAUAAUGCCUCUAAGAGUGCAGCUACCAUGAUGCCCCAAAUAGUGAGGUGCAGUUACCAUAAUGUCUUCAAAAGUGGGGUGCAGAUACCGGAGUGCCUCUAAUAGUGGGGCUCAGAUGCCGUAAUACCUCUAAUAGUGGGGUGCAGAUACCGUAAUGCCUCAAAUACUGGGGCUUGGAUACCAUAAUGUGUCUAAUAGUGGAGAACAGAUAACAUAAUAUUUCUAAUAUCAGGGUGCAGAUACCAUAAUGCCUCUAAUAGUGGGGUUCAGAUACCAUAAUGCCCCUCCUAGUAGGGUGCAGAUACUGUAAUGUCUCUAAUAGCAGAGCUUUGAUACUGUAUUGCCUCAAAUAGUGAGGCUUACAUGCCGUAAUGUUUCUAAUAGCAGGGCUCAGACACCAUAAUGCCUCUAAUAGUGGGGUGCAGAUACCACAGUGUCCCAAAUACUGGGGCUUAGAUAUCC